GUUAUAGGGUCAAGCGAACAAGUGCAUGUGGUGGAUGCCUUGGCGAUCACAGGCGAUGAAGGACGCGGUAGCCUGCGAAAAGUAUCGGGGAGCUGGCAAACGAGCUUUGAUCCGAAGAUGUCCGAAUGGGGAAACCCACCCGCUUGCGGGUAUCCUGCAGUGAAUACAUAGCUGCUGGAAGCGAACCUGGUGAACUGAAAU
rnacentral:rRNA from 1 species